GAGCCAUGUGUUUUUCGUUGGGGUGUGUUUUUGGUUAACUUCUAUUAGACCGCCUCAACCAAAAACCCAGCUGAAUUUUGAUGCAUUGGAAUUCGUUGAGCCUCCUCCCUCAAAACCUUCUGUCUUUGCCUUUCUCUUUAUUUUCUGCAGCCUUUUACUCCUCCUUCAAGCACCAUCCAACAUGAGUCGCCAUCCAGAGGUUCUUUGGGCUCAGAGGUCUGAUAAGGUAUACCUGACGAUCUCUUUACCUGAUGCAAAAGAUAUUUCUGUUAUAUGUGACCCUCAGGGGUUAUUUAGUUUCUCUGCCAUGGGGGUGCAAGGAGAAUCCUUCGAUUUCAGUUUGGAGCUUUUUGGGAAAAUAGUACCUGAGGGUUGCAAAACUAAUGUUGGGUUAAGGAAUAUAAUAUGCUCUAUCCAGAAAGAAGAGAAAGGGUGGUGGAAAAGAUUACUAAAGUCAGAAGAGAAACCUGCACCUUACAUCAAGGUUGAUUGGAACAAAUGGUGUGAUGAAGAUGAGGAAGAGUCAAAUUCUGAUUUGGCCUCUGAUGAUGAUGAUGCCAUGUAUGUUGGUCAAGAUGAUGAAAGCAGCGAUGAUGAAGGAUUGCUGUCUUGAAGAAGCAAAGUGGGCAGAAUUUAUUUGGCCUUUGGAUGGGUUUAAGAGUUAGGAAGAUGAGAUAUGAAGGGAAGGGUGGAUGGGGACUAUUAACAUUGUUGACCAUAUCAAGAUUAAUUGGUGAAAAUAAAAUAUUGAAGGGAAUACGUAAGCUGAUGAUUGAGCUGUUAACAUGACAUUGCUGUAUGAAAGUUGCUUAAACUGUAGCCUAGCACGAAGGAAGGUGAAAGUUUGUGAGGACUCGAAGGUAAGUAGGAGCUGUUAAAAGUAGUGCCUUGAUUGCUAAACCAAAGUUGCUGGAAGUGUGGAAAUAGCAUAGACUGAGGCACUAGAAACCUUGAAGGCUCAAGCAGUAGGGGAUUGAACUUUGCUAGCGCCUUUAAGAAGAUUGGUUGGUAAAAUUGGUGAGAAAUCCCACCAAUUGAGAUCUUCCUGAUUUGGAAAAGGCAAGAGGAAACUAAGUAAAGAAUCAGAACUAACCAGUGACAAAUGGAAGAUGGAGCUACGAGGAACAAUUUUCAUCCUGCUGUGGAAUUAUUAGAACUGGAGUUCAUAUAUAUUCGUAUCUAACCCCUUCUUCAAGGCAGAGGCCAAUCAGAUUAAGAGCACUAGAAUUCUGAAUUCAUUUCAAUCUAUUUUUGCUUAACUUGUUUACAGUAUUUGCUCAUAUCAGCCACAAUGAUGCAUCCAUCUGCUUUAUUUUCUACAUUGUUUGGUCUUUCUUUGACUAGGCUGCUCUGCUUACCUGGUUUUACUGUUGAAGCUUUGCAAUUUUCACAAAGCUUGAGGCAGGGAAAUUCAAGUUUUAAUGUUGAUAUAAUGAUAAAAAAUUAAAAUA